UACGUAGGGACCGAGCGUUGUCCGGAAUCAUUGGGCGUAAAGAGCGUGUAGGCGGCUUGUUAAGUCUUGCGUGAAAUCUCGGGGCUCAACCCCGAGCGGUCGUGAGAAACUGGCAGGCUAGAGUACUGGAGAGGGUCGUGGAAUUCCCGGUGUAGCGGUGAAAUGCGUAGAGAUCGGGAGGAACACCAGAGGCGAAGGCGGCGACCUGGACAGUUACUGACACUCAACUACGAGAGCGUGGGGAGCAAACAGG
rnacentral:rRNA from 1 species